CAAUAGCGUAUAUUAAAGUUGUUGCAGUUAAAAAGCUCGUAGUUGGAUUUCUGGUGGGAUCAUCCGGUCCGCCCCGCAAGGGGUGAGCACUUGUGAUGCAUCCGGCCACUUUUGCGCCAAACGUUUCUGGCAUUAAGUUGUCGGGGACGGGAGGUGCAUCAUUUACUGUGAAAAAUUAGAGUGUUUAAAGCAGGCAAUCGCUGUGAAUACAUUAGCAUGGAAUAAUAAGAUAGGACUUUGGUGCUAUUUUGUUGGUUUGCACACCAAGGUAAUGAUUAACAGGGACAGUUGGGGGUAUUCGUAUUUAGAUGUCAGAGGUGAAAUUCUUGGAUUUUCGAAAGACGAACUUCUGCGAAAGCAUUUACCAAGGAUGUUUUCAUUAAUCAAGAACGAAAGUUAGGGGAUCGAAGACGAUUAGAUACCGU
rnacentral:rRNA from 1 species